rnacentral:rRNA from 1 species
AACGAACGCUGGCGGCGUGCCUAACACAUGCAAAUCGAACGUGAUUGGAAGCUUGCUUCCAUGAAAGUGGCGCACGGGUGAGUAACGCGUAGAUAAUCUACCUGAUGAUCCGGGAUAACACUUCGAAAGGGGUGCUAAUACCAGAUAAGCCCACGGAGUCCUUGGGCUCUGCGGGAAAAGGGGGGGAUCGCAAGACCUUCCGUCAUCAGAUGAGUCUGCGUACCAUUAGCUAGUUGGUAGGGUAAAGGCCUACCAAGGCGACGAUGGUUAGCUGGUCUGAGAGGAUGAUCAGCAACACUGGAACUGAGACACGGUCCAGACUCCUACGGGAGGCAGCAGUGGGGAAUUUUGCGCAAUGGGGGAAACCCUGACGCAGCAACGCCGCGUGAGUGAUGAAGGCCCUUGGGUCGUAAAGCUCUGACAGAGGGAAAGAAAUGCAGAGUGGCUAAUAUCCACCUUGCUUGACGGUACCCUCAAAGGAAGCACCGGCUAACUCCGUGCCAGCAGCCGCGGUAAAAC